AUUGAACGCUGGCGGCAGGCCUAACACAUGCAAGUCGAGCGAGCGGCGGACGGGUGAGCAAUGUAUGGGGACUGCCCGAUAGAGGGGGAUAACUAUUGUAAACGGUGGCUAAUACCCCAUAUUGCCUGAUAACCCAGAUGUGAUUAGCUCGUAGGUGAGGUAAUGGCUUACCUAGGCGACGAUCCCUAGCUGGUCUGAGAGGAUGAUCAGCCACACUGGGACUGAGACACGGCCCAGACUCCUACGGAGGCAGCAGUGGGGAAUAUUGUACAAUGGGCGCAAGCCUGAUGCAGCCAUGCCGCGUGUAUGAAGAAGGCCCUAGGGUUGUAAAGUACUUUCAGUCGGGAGGCGUUACCGACAGAAGAAGCACCGGCUAACUCCGUGCCAGCAGCCGCGGUAAUUC
rnacentral:rRNA from 1 species